rnacentral:misc_RNA from 1 species
AAAUGCGAUAAGUAAUGUGAAUUGCAGAAUUCAGUGAAUCAUCGAAUCUUUGAACGCACCUUGCGCUCCUUGGUAUUCCUUGGAGCAUGCCUGUUUGAGUAUCAUGAAAUCUUCAAAGUAAAUCUUUUGUUAACUCAAUUGGUUUCUACUUUGGUAUUGGAGGUCUUUGCAGCUUCACACCUGCUCCUCUUUGUUCAUUAGCUGGAUCUCAGUGUUAUGCUUGGUUCCACUCGGCGUGAUAAGUUAUCUAUCGCUGAGGACACUGUAAAAGGUGGCCAAGGUAAAUGCAGAUGAACCGCUUCUAAUAGUCCAUUGACUUGGACAAUACUUUUAUGAUCUGAUCUCAAAUCAGGUAGGACUACCCGCCGAACUUUAGC